rnacentral:tRNA from 3 species
GCCGAAGUGGUGGAAUUGGUAGACGCGCUGGUUUCAGAGACCAGUGAGAGCAAUCUCGUGGGGGUUCGACUCCCCCCUUCGGCACCA